GACGAACGCUGGCGGCGUGCUUAACACAUGCAAGUCGAGCGGGUAAGGCCCUUCGGGGUACGACGAGCGGCGAACGGGUGAGUAACACGUGGGUGACCUGCCUCUAGCUCUGGGAUAAGCCUGGGAAACGUGGGUCUAAUACCGGAUAUGACUCCACGGCGCAUGUUGUGGGGUGGAAAGCCUUGUGUGGCUAGAGAUGGGCCCGCGGCCUAUCAGCUUGUUGGUGGGGUGAUGGCCUACCAAGGCGACGACGGGUAGCUGGUCUGAGAGGACGAUCAGCCGGACUGGGACUGAGAUACGGCCCAGACUCCGUACGGGGGCAGCAAUUAGGAAUCUUGCGCAAUGGGGGCAACCCUGAC
rnacentral:rRNA from 1 species